rnacentral:rRNA from 1 species
UUGGUUAAGUUAGAAAGGGCGCACGGUGGAUGCCUUGGCACUAGGAGCCGAAGAAGGACGGGACUAACACCGAUAUGCUUUGGGGAGCUGUACGUAAGCGUUGAUCCAGAGAUUUCCGAAUGGGGGAACCCACUAUCUUUAGUCGGAUAGUAUCCUUACGUGAAUACAUAGCGUGAGGAAGGCAGACCCAGGGAACUGAAACAUCUAAGUACCUGGAGGAAGAGAAAGAAAAAUCGAUUUCCUGAGUAGCGGCGAGCGAAACGGAAAGAGCCCAAACCAAGAAGCUUGCUUCUUGGGGUUGUAGGACACUCUAUACGGAGUUACAAAAGAAAGUUAUAAAUGAAGCGGUCUGGAAAGGCCCGCCAAAGACGGUAACAGCCCGGUAGUUGAAAUGGCUUUCCCUCCAGAGUGGAUCCUGAGUACGGCGGAACACGUGAAAUUCCGUCGGAAUCCGGGAGGACCAUCUCCCAAGGCUAAAUACUCCCUAGUGACCGAUAGUGAACCAGUACCGUGAGGGAAAGGUGAAAAGCACCCCGGAAGGGGAGUGAAACAGUUCCUGAAACCGUGUGCCUACAAGUAGUUAGAGCCCGUUAAUGGGUGAUAGCGUGCCUUUUGUAGAAUGAACCGGCGAGUUACGAUUUGUUGCAAGGUUAAGCGGAAAAAGCGGAGCCGUAGCGAAAGCGAGUCUGAAUAGGGCGCAUAAGUAACAGGUCGUAGACCCGAAACCAGGUGAUCUACCCAUGUCCAGGAUGAAGGUAAGGUAAUACUUACUGGAGGUCCGAACCCACGCACGUUGAAAAGUGCGGGGAUGAGGUGUGGGUAGCGGAGAAAUUCCAAUCGAACUUGGAGAUAGCUGGUUCUCUCCGAAAUAGCUUUAGGGCUAGCCUCGAGGUAAAGAGUCAUGGAGGUAGAGCACUGUUUGGACUAGGGGCCCUUCUCGGGUUACCGAAUUCAGAUAAACUCCGAAUGCCAUGUACUUAUACUCGGGAGUCAGACUGCGAGUGAUAAGAUCCGUAGUCGAAAGGGAAACAGCCCAGACCACCAGUUAAGGUCCCCAAAUAUAUGUUAAGUGGAAAAGGAUGUGGGGUUGCUUAGACAACCAGGAUGUUGGCUUAGAAGCAGCCACCAUUGAAAGAGUGCGUAAUAGCUCACUGGUCGAGUGACCCCGCGCCGAAAAUGUACCGGGGCUAAACAUAUUACCGAAACUGUGGAUGAACCUCUUUAGAGGUUCGUGGUAGGAGAGCGUUCUAAGGGCGGUGAAGUCAGACCGGAAGGACUGGUGGAGCGCUUAGAAGUGAGAAUGCCGGUAUGAGUAGCGAAAGAAGGGUGAGAAUCCCUUCCACCGAAUAUCUAAGGUUUCCUGAGGAAGGCUCGUCCGCUCAGGGUUAGUCGGGACCUAAGCCGAGGCCGAUAGGCGUAGGCGAUGGACAACAGGUAGAGAUUCCUGUACCAGUGCUAAUUGUUUAACCGAUGGGGUGACACAGAAGGAUAGGGAAUCGCACGAAUGGAAAUGUGCGUCCAAGCAGUGAGUGUGAGAAGUAGGCAAAUCCGCUUCUCGCGAAGCAUGAGCUGUGAUGGGGAAGGAAAUUAAGUACGGAAGUUCCUGAUUUCACGCUGUCAAGAAAAGCCUCUAGGAAGAGUAGUACUGCCCGUACCGCAAACCGACACAGGUAGAUGAGGAGAGAAUCCUAAGGUGAGCGAGAGAACUCUCGUUAAGGAACUCGGCAAAAUGACCCCGUAACUUCGGGAGAAGGGGUGCUCUAUUAGGGUGCAAGCCCGAGAGAGCCGCAGUGAAUAGGCCCAGGCGACUGUUUAGCAAAAACACAGGUCUCUGCAAAACCGUAAG